rnacentral:sRNA from 2 species
CUUGUCUGAUCGCUGAGUCUUCUUCGUUAGAAGAAGAGCGGGGGAACCAUUUCAUGUUUGGGGUGAAUCCUUGCGGGCACCGGCUCGAACGGCAGGAAUUCUUUGAAACGGCUAAGCGUUCGGCCAAAGCAGGGUAGGGCUAUCCCUGAGCCCGAAUCCGUCAGCUAACCUCGUAAGCGUCAUUUGGGGGAGAC